rnacentral:rRNA from 1 species
CCCUUAGAUGUUCUGGGCCGCACGCGCGCUACACUGACGAAUGCAACGAGCUUAUAACCUUGGCCGAAAGGUCUGGGUAAUCUCCAAAUUUCGUCGUGAUGGGGAUAGAUUAUUGCAAUUAUUAAUCUUCAACGAGGAAUGCCUAGUAAGCGCAAGUCAUCAGCUUGCGUUGAUUACGUCCCUGCCCUUUGUACACACCGCCCGUCGCUCCUACCGAUUGAAUGGUCCGGUGAAGCGUUCGGACCGUGGCCUUUGGACGGUUCGCCGCCUGUUGGCUGCGGGAAGUUCGUUAAACCUUAUCAUUUAGAGGAAGGAGAANUCGUAACA